AGCUCCAAUAGCGUAUAUUAAAGUUGUUGCAGUUAAAAAGCUCGUAGUUGGAUUCCUGGUCAGAGCGGCCGGUCUGGUCCUAACGGAUCAGUACUUUGCGCUGUCUUUGACCUUCCUUUGGGAGAAGUUGUCUGGGCAUUCAUUUGUCUGGGCAGGGGACCCCAAUCGUUUACUGUGAAAAAAUUAGAGUGUUUAAAGCAGGCAUUUGCUGUGAAUACAUUAGCAUGGAAUAAUAAGAUAGGACUUUGGUGCUAUUUUGUUGGUUUGCACAUCAAGGUAAUGAUUAACAGGGACAGUUGGGGGUAUUCGUAUUUAAUUGUCAGAGGUGAAAUUCAUGGAUUUAUGAAAGACGAACUACUGCGAAAGCAUUUACCAAGGAUGUUUUCAUUGAUCAAGAACG
rnacentral:rRNA from 1 species